rnacentral:rRNA from 1 species
UUGAAUAGUAAUGCAACUUGGGACAUACCCAGUCUCAUUUGAUUUUAGAAGUUAAGCAGGGUCAUGCCUGAUUAAUAUGUAGAUGGGAAAUCACCAGGGAAUACCAGGGUCUUCAUC